CAAGGCCAAGGAGGUAAGUAACCUUACUGUUGGCGUUAGUUUUGUAUGUAUGUUGGUGCGUGCCCUGUGGCCCUUGCAUGCACCAUAUGUUGUUGCUGUAUGCUAGGUUAGAUGUUUCUUGUCGUGAAAUGCUAUGCAUGCUUUGUUUAUGUAUGUGAUUCUUGCAGUGAAUUGCUAUGUAUGCCAUGUUUAUGAAUAUGAUGUUGUGACGCGUUUUGUCGCCCUGUAUGUAUGAUGAGCUUGAUUGACAUGUUAUGAUUGUAAUGAGAACCCCACAUGCCAUGAAUAAGAUGACUAGUAUGCUAGGACAUGCUUGCUCAAUGUGGACCCGGUUAUGCUAUGUUAUGCUUGCCUAAUGUGGACCCGGUUAUGCUACGUAAUGCGGCGAGGGGAUGGAGCGUCGUAUGUGUAAUGCCAUGGAGGUAAACCUUAAGAACCUCAUGCACGCUAUGGUUGGGGCACUCCCCCGUUAUGCUACUGAUGGUAUGGAUGCGUAUAUUCGAUAUUGUGUUCGCCACGAUAUCAUGCAGGCCCUCCUUUGUCCGUGGCGUCCGGUAUUGUAUGUCAUACAUACCCGACCAAGCCAGGCCCAGGGAGUUCGCUUGCGAGCUCGCCUGGUGGGCCCACAGUCACACACGUGGGCCAUGUGUGGGAAAUUACCAUGCAUCCACCCCCGCCCGGACAAGGCAAGGGCCUAAGGCCAUGGGAAGGAAUGGAAGACAAACCUCUCUCUCAGCUGCGUUCUUCUAACAUUGUGCGGCAUGUAUGGAAAGGGCAAGGCUCCCAUGUACGGGUGACAGUGGAUGAUGCGAAGGGCCAUGGAAAUCUUGGGGAGAGUUUGUAGUGUCGUAGGCGCCUGUUGGAUUCUUUUGGGUUCUUAGUUUUGCGAAUUGUUCCUCUAGUUCUCUGUUGAUUACUUCUAGGCUAGGUUGUCGCAAUCGUUUUCCUAGGUACGGAUUGUUUAAAUUGAUGAAUGCAUUUUCGU